rnacentral:rRNA from 1 species
UACGAAGGGGGCUAGCGUUGUUCGGAAUUACUGGGCGUAAAGCGCGCGUAGGCGGAUUUGUAAGUCAGGGGUGAAAUCCCGGGGCUCAACCUCGGAACUGCCUUUGAUACUGCAAGUCUCGAGUCCGAUAGAGGUGAGUGGAAUUCCUAGUGUAGAGGUGAAAUUCGUGGAUAUUAGGAAGAACACCAGUGGCGAAGGCGGCUCACUGGAUCGGUACUGACGCUGAGGUGCGAAAGCGUGGGGAGCAAACAGG